rnacentral:rRNA from 1 species
GGCUCAGGAUGAACGCUAGCUACAGGCUUAACACAUGCAAGUCGAGGGGCAGCAUGGGAGAGCUUGCUCUUCCAGGAUGACGACCGGCGCACGGGUGAGUAACGCGUAUCCAACCUGGCCCAUACCACGGGGAUAGCCCGUCGAAAGGCGGAUUAAUACCGUAUGCUGUCAUUAAGAUGCAUAUAUUGAUGACGAAAGGACUGGCGGUAUGGGAUGGGGAUGCGUCUGAUUAGCUUGUUGGCGGGGUAACGGCCCACCAAGGCUACGAUCAGUAGGGGUUCUGAGAGGAAGGUCCCCCACAUUGGAACUGAGACACGGUCCAAACUCCUACGGGAGGCAGCAGUGAGGAAUAUUGGUCAAUGGGCGAGAGCCUGAACCAGCCAAGUAGCGUGCAGGACGACGGCCCUAUGGGUUGUAAACUGCUUUUAUAAGGGAAUAAAGUGGGUCACGUGUGACUUUUUGCAUGUACCUUAUGAAUAAGGACCGGCUAAUUCCGUG